rnacentral:rRNA from 1 species
UGGGAAUUUUGGACAAUUGGGCGAAAGCCUGAUCCAGCAAUGCCGCGUGUGUGAAGAAGGCCUUCGGGUUGUAAAGCACUUUUGUCCGGAAAGAAAUCCUUGGCUCUAAUACAGUCGGGGGAUGACGGUACCGGAAGAAUAAGCACCGGCUAACUACGUGCCAGCAGCCGCGGUAAUACGUAGGGUGCAAGCGUUAAUCGGAAUUACUGGGCGUAAAGCGUGCGCAGGCGGUUUGCUAAGACCGAUGUGAAAUCCCCGGGCUCAACCUGGGAACUGCAUUGGUGACUGGCAGGCUAGAGUAUGGCAGAGGGGGGUAGAAUUCCACGUGUAGCAGUGAAGUGCGUAGAGAUGUGAGGAAUACCGAUGGCGAAGGCAGCCCCCUGGGCCAAUACUGACGCUCAUGCACGAAAGCGUGGGGAGCAAACAGGAUUAGAUACCCUGGUAGUCCACGCCCUAAACGAUGUCAACUAGUUGUUGGGGAUUCAUUUCCUAGUAACGUAGCUAACGCGUGAAGUUGACCGCCUGGGGAGUACGGUCGCAAGAUUAAAACUCAAAGGAAUUGACGGGGU